rnacentral:rRNA from 1 species
GUGAGGAAUAUUGCGCAAUGGAGGCAACUCUGACGCAGCCAUGUCGCGUGCAGGAAGAAGGCGCUACGCGUUGUAAACUGCUUUUAACCGGGAAGAAACCCCAGGACGUGUCCUGGGUUGACGGUACCGGAGGAAUAAGCACCGGCUAACUUCGUGCCAGCAGCCGCGGUAAUACGAAGGGUGCAAGCGUUAUCCGGAUUCAUUGGGUUUAAAGGGUGCGUAGGCGGAGCGUUAAGUCAGUGGUGAAAUCCUGCAGCUUAACUGUAGACUUGCCAGUGAUACUGGCGCUCUUGAGUGCGCUUGAAGUGGGCGGAAUGUGCCGUGUAGCGGUGAAAUGCUUAGAUAUGGCACAGAACACCAAUUGCGAAGGCAGCUCACUAAGGCGAUACUGACGCUGAGGCACGAAAGCGUGGGGAUCGAACAGGAUUAGAAACCCGGGUAGUCC